rnacentral:rRNA from 1 species
AUACGGAAGGUCCGGGCGUUAUCCGGAUUUAUUGGGUUUAAAGGGAGCGCAGGCGGAGAUGCAAGCGUGACGUCAAAUUUCGGGGCUCAACCCCGUCUCGCGUCGCGAACUGCGUCCCUUGGUUGCGGGAAGGGGAGGCGGAACUCGUGGUGUAGCGGUGAAAUGCGUAGAGAUCACGAAGAACUCCGAUCGCGAAGGCAGCCUUCCGGCACGUCAACGACGCUCAUGCUCGAAGGUGCGGGUAUCAAACAGGAUUAGAUACCCUGGUAGUCCGCACAGUAAACGAUGGACACCCGCGGUUUGGCCUGUAUGGCUGAGCCGCCAAGCGAAAGCGUUAAGUGUCCCACCUGGGGAGUACGCCGGCAACGGUGAAACUCAAAUGAAUUGGCGGGG